AGCGGGGAUAGAGCAAGAGCGGCUCGGCAGUCUCAUAAGCUGCAGACGGUGAGUGCAACUCUCACCCCCGCUACCA
rnacentral:tRNA from 1 species